rnacentral:rRNA from 1 species
GACGAAGGGGGCUAGCGUUGUUCGGAAUUACUGGGCGUAAAGCGCGUGUAGGCGGUUGUUCAAGUCAGGUGUGAAAGCCUUGAGCUCAACUCAAGAAAUGCACUUGAUACUGGAUGACUAGAGGACCGGAGAGGAUAGUGGAAUUCCCAGUGUAGUGGUGAAAUACGUAGAGAUUGGGAAGAACACCAGUGGCGAAGGCGACUUCCUGGCCUGUUCUUGACGCUGAGGCGCGAAAGCUAGGGGAGCAAACGGG